CAGGGUCUUUCGACUGCCCAAACCCAACUGUGAACUUGUCUCCCUCGGGAGAAGUCAGAUAUUCGCAAUGCUUCGGCGAGUCGCUCGCUGGGGGAGCCUCGGGUUAGCGGAGACGCGCCGGCUCGCCGAAGGUAUGCGGAACCAAAUUCUUGAGCAACUUUCAGAGGGUUUUACUUUCCACAAUGGAAAAAAAUCACUCA
rnacentral:misc_RNA from 1 species